rnacentral:rRNA from 1 species
CCCGCUGAACUUAAGCAUAUCAAUAAGCGGAGGAAAAGAAACUAACAAGGAUUCCCCUAGUAACGGCGAGUGAAGCGGGAGGAGCUCAAGCUUAAAAUCUCCGCGCCAGUUUGGCGUGGCGAAUUGUAGUCUAUGGACGCGUGGUCAGCGCGGGCGCUCGGGGCAAGUUCCUUGGAAGAGGACAGCAUGGAGGGUGAUACUCCCGUGAUUCCCUGGGUUUGCUUGUGCGUACGACCCGUGGUCUUUGAGUCGCGUUGUUUGGGAAUGCAGCGCAAAGUAGGUGGUAAAUUCCAUCUAAAGCUAAAUAUUGGUGCGAGACCGAUAGCGAACAAGUACCGUGAGGGAAAGAUGAAAAGAACUUUGAAAAGAGAGUUAAAGAGUACCUGAAACUGCUGAAAGGGAACCGAAUCGUUUCCAGUGUCUAUAAUCCGCKGCAUAUUUCAUUGGCGGGCGUGUGCGUGUGUGGGCUUUGGCAGUGGCUUUUUUGGCUGCGCUGGGUCUGUGCUGUGCGUGUGUCUGGCGGUGCCCUGUGCUGUGGUGGGACGUCAAGGUCAGUUCGURUGCUGCGGGAAAUGGCUGCCGAGGAGGUAGGGCUUACGCUCCGCGUUUGUCUGUUAUAUCUUGGUGGACGAGUCGUCGUGGUUGGGACUGAGGUGCCUACAACGUGCUUUUGAGUGUGUGGGAAUCUCUGUGUGCGCGGUGUGCGGAUAGCUUGCUAUGCGUGUGCUGUUGUGCGUGGAUUGAGGCCUGCUGUAGCUUGUUGCCGUUCGGGACGUUGACGAAAUGGAGCGAUCCGACCCGUCUUGAAACACGGACCAAGGAGUCUAACAUGUGUGCAAGUGUUAGGGUGUGGAAACCCGAGCGCGAAAUGAAAGUGAAGGGCAGCUUUUUGCUGUCUGAGGUAGGAAACGUGCGGGCCCUCGGGCUUGCGCGUGGCACUAUCGACCGAUCAUGAACCUUCGUGGUGAAAGAUUUGAGUUUGAGCACAUAUGUUGGUACCCGAAAGAUGGUGAACUAUGCCUGAGUAGGGUGAAGCCAGGGGAAACUCUGGUGGAAGCUCGUAGCGAUUCUGACGUGCAAAUCGAUCGUCAAACUUGGGUAUAGGGGCGAAAGACUAAUCGAACCAUCUAGUAGCUGGUUCCCUCCGAAAUUUCCCUCAGGAUAGCAGCAACUUCUUUACGAUAGUUUUAUGAGGUAAAGCGAAUGAUUAGAGGAUUCGGGGAAGAAACUUCCUCGACCUAUUCUCAAACUUUAAAUCUGUAAGACCUGCAGGUUUCUUAAUUGAACUUGCGGAUGUGAAUAUCAAGUUGCUAGUGGGCCAUACGGGGUAAGCUCGUCUGGCG